CUUCAUUCUUUCUCUCUUUUGCCUGGAUCGAGAUUGUUAAGUCCCUCUCAGUGAAGGGUAAGAUUAUGAGAUCUGAGGGCU
rnacentral:sRNA from 1 species